UGUAAGCGUAUACCAAAGUUGUUGCAGUUAAAACGCUCGUAGUCGGAAUUUGGCAGUUCCGGAUGUGUGCACGUCGUGUGCGCACUUCGCGGGGAUUGCUUUUGUGGUCUUGCGUAGGAUGAGGCACUUUUAUUAGUGAACGUCCUCACGCAACCACUUUUUACUGUGAGAAAAUCAGAGUGCUCAAAGCAGGCAUUUGCCGUGAAUGUAUUAGCAUGGAAUAAUAGAAUAGGACUUGGUUCUAUUUUGUUGGUUUGUUGGGGCUGAGUAAUGAUUAAGAGGGACAGUUGGGGGCAUUUGUAUUUCGGCGCUAGAGGUGAAAUUCUUAGAUUGCCGAAAGACAAACUGCUGCGAAAGCGUCUGCCAAGGAUGUUUUCAUUGA
rnacentral:rRNA from 1 species